rnacentral:rRNA from 1 species
CCUACGGGAGGCAGCAGUGGGGAAUAUUGCACAAUGGGCGAAAGCCUGAUGCAGCAACGCCGCGUGAAGGAAGAAGGGUUUCGGCUCGUAAACUUCUAUCAACAGGGACGAAAGAAAUGACGGUACCUGAAUAAGAAGCCCCGGCUAACUACGUGCCAGCAGCCGCGGUAAUCCGUAGGGGGCAAGCGUUAUCCGGAAUUACUCGGUGUAAAGGGUGAGUAGGCGGCAUGGUAAGCCAGAUGUGAAAUCCUUGGGCUUAACCCGAGGAUUGCAUUUGGAACUAUCAGGCUGGAGUACAGGAGAGGAAAGCGGAAUGCCUAGUGUAGCGGUGAAAUGCGUAGAUAUUAGGAGGAACACCAGUGGCGAAGGCGGCUUACUGGACUGUAACUGACGUUGAGGCUCGAAAGCGUGGGGAGCAAACAGGAUUAGAUACCCGGGUAGUC